rnacentral:rRNA from 1 species
GAGGCUUUGAAGCAGGAACGCUAGUUCUUGUGGAGCCAACCUUGAAAUACCACCCUGAUCUGUUUGAGGUUCUAACCUUGACCCAUUAUCUGGGUCGGGGACCGUGCAUGGUGGGCAGUUUGACUGGGGCGGUCUCCUCCUAAAGAGUAACGGAGGAGCUCGAAGGUACGCUAAGUACGGUCGGACAUCGUACUGAUAGUGCAAUGGCAUAAGCG